rnacentral:rRNA from 1 species
GAUGAACGCUGGCGGCGUGCCUAAUACAUGCAAGUCGAACGCUGGAGAUCUAGCUUGCUAGAUCGAAGGAGUGGCGAACGGGUGAGUAAUACAUAAGCAACCUACCCACGAAGACUGGGAUAAUCUCUGGAAACGGGGACUAAUACCGGAUAGGUAAUCGGAAGGCAUCUUCUGGUUAUUAAAGGUUAAAAACACUGGUGGAUGGGCUUAUGGCGCAUUAGUUAGUUGGUGAGGUAACGGCCCACCAAGACGAUGAUGCGUAGCCGGCCUGAGAGGGUGAACGGCCAGAUUGGGACUGAGACACGGCCCAGAAUCCUACGGGAGGCAGCAGUAGGGAAUUUUCGGCAAUGGGGGCAAACCUGACCGAGCAACGCCGCGUGAGUGAAGACGGCCUUCGGGUUGUAAAGCUCUGUUGUAAGGGAAGAACGGUAGAUAGAGAAUAUCUAAGUGACGGUACCUUACCAGAAAGCCACGGCUAACUACGUG